rnacentral:rRNA from 1 species
AGUGAACGCUGGCGGUAGGCCUAACACAUGCAAGUCGAACGGCAGCACAGUAAGAGCUUGCCCUUACGGGUGGCGAGUGGCGGACGGGUGAGGAAUACAUCGGAAUCUACUUUUUCGUGGGGGAUAACGUAGGGAAACUUACGCUAAUACCGCAUACGACCUACGGGUGAAAGCAGGGGAUCUUCGGACCUUGCGCGAUUGAAUGAGCCGAUGUCGGAUUAGCUAGUUGGCGGGGUAAAGGCCCACCAAGGCGACGAUCCGUAGCUGGUCUGAGAGGAUGAUCGGCCACACUGGAACUGAGACACGGUCCAGACUCCUACGGGAGGCAGCAGUGGGGAAUAUUGGGCAAUGGGCGCAAGCCUGAUCCAGCCAUACCGCGUGGGUGAAGAAGGCCUUCGGGUUGUAAAGCCCUUUUGUUGGGAAAGAAAAGCAGCAGGUUAAUACCCCGCUGUUCUGACGGUACCCAAAGAAUAAGCACCGGCUAACUUCGUG